GCCGGGAGCGGUGCGCAUGCGCCCUUCUUUGGAAUGCUGUGUAUUAUUAUUCUCGUCGCUACGACUGGAGCUGUGAUUGUCGUCCUCGGCCUGAGACUGUGGAUAGUGCUUCGGACUCAGAAGGUUAUUUCUCGGAAAUGUCUCAGUGUCUUGGUAGUGGCUGGGUCUGGUGGGCAUACCAUGGAGAUCCUGAGGCUGGUUGGUAGCCUGUCCAGUGCUUACUCACCUAGACAUUAUAUCAUUGCUGACACGGAUACAAUGAGUGCCAAUAAAAUUGAUUGUUUUGAACUUGAUCGUGCUGGAAGAGAACCUAGUACCAUGUACACCAAAUACUACAUCCACCGAAUUCCGAGAAGCCGUGAGGUCCAGCAGGCCUGGCUGUCCACAGUGCUCACCACCAUACAGGCCUUGUGGCUCUCCUUUCCUCUGGUUGUCCGGAUAAAGCCAGAUUUGGUGUUGUGUAACGGACCAGGAACAUGUGUUCCUAUCUGCAUAUCCGCCCUCCUGCUUGGAAUCCUCGGGAUAAAGAAGGUGAUCCUUGUCUACAUUGAGAGCAUCUGCCGAGUGGAAACGUUAUCCCUGUCUGGGAAGAUUCUAUUCCAUCUCACGGAUUACUUCAUUGUUCAGUGGCCAGCUCUUAAGGAGAAGUAUCCCAAAUCUGUGUACCUUGGGCGAAUUGUUUGACCAAUGGCAACUACUUCUUUAGAAUUUUGCCAUCAACAAUAUUGACUUAACACACUUAUAAAGGCUUCUGAAAGCCUUAACAAUUGUUGAUGAUCAAGAGUAAAAUAAUAUACAAAUAACUCACUAGAGAAACUGAGAUGCCAGAGUGAUGGUACACACCUGUAAUCCAAACACUGGGGCAGCUGAAGCAGGAAGAAUGUGGGUUCUAGGGCAACCUGUACUACAUAGCAAAUCCCCAUUUAAGAAGGGGGGUAAGAGGGAAGAAAGGAGAGAGUAAGGGGGUCCUCUCAUAAAAUUAUUAAAAUGUUAAUAAAUAGUACAUAUCAAAUAUUUAUGGCUCUGUACAUCAAAUUUCUUCUUAGGUAAAAUAUGAAACACUACCUGC